rnacentral:rRNA from 1 species
GUAAACGAUGAAUGCUAGGUGUAGCGGGUAUCGACCCCUGCUGUGCCGCAGUAAACACAAUAAGCAUUCCGCCUGGGGAGUACGGCCGCAAGGUUGAAACUCAAAGGAAUUGACGGGGGCCCGCACAAGCAGCGGAGCAUGUCGUUUAAUUCGAUGCAACGCGAAGAACCUUACCAGGUCUUGACAUCCAACUAAACUUGCGGAGACGCAAGGUCCCUUCGGGGGAGUUGAGACAGGUGGUGCAUGGUUGUCGUCAGCUCGUGUCGUGAGAUGUUGGGUUAAGUCCCGCAACGAGCGCAACCCUUAUGAUCAGUUACUAACGGGCAAAGCCGAGGACUCUGAUAAGACUGCCGGGGACAACUCGGAGGAAGGUGGGGACGACGUCAAAUCAUCAUGCCCCUUAUGACCUGGGCUACAGACGUGCUACAAUGGCGACUACAAAGAGGAGCGAGACCGUAAGGUUCAGCGGAUCUCAAAAAAGUCGUCCCAGUUCGGAC